rnacentral:rRNA from 1 species
AUGAACGCUGGCGGCGUGCCUAAUACAUGCAAGUCGAGCGAACGGACGAGAAGCUUGCUUCUCUGAUGUUAGCGGCGGACGGGAGAGUAACACGUGGAUAACCUACCUAUAAGACUGGGAUAACUUCGGGAAACCGGAGCUAAUACCGGAUAAUAUUUUUAACCGCAUGGUUCAAAAGUGAAAGACGGUCUUGCUGUCACUUAUAGAUGGAUCCGCGCUGCAUUAGCUAGUUGGUAAGGUAACGGCUUACCAAGGCAACGAUGCAUAGCCGACCUGAGAGGGUGAUCGGCCACACUGGAACUGAGACACGGUCCAGACUCCUACGGGAGGCAGCAGUAGGGAAUCUUCCGCAAUGGGCGAAAGCCUGACGGAGCAACGCCGCGUGAGUGAUGAAGGUCUUCGGAUCGUAAAACUCUGUUAUUAGGGAAGAACAUAUGUGUAAGUAACUGUGCACAUCUUGACGGUACCUAAUCAGAAAGCCACGGCUAACUACGUG